GAUGAACGCUGGCGGCGUGCCUAAUACAUGCAAGUCGAGCGAACGGACGAGAAGCUUGCUUCUCUGAUGUUAGCGGCGCACGGGUGAGUAACACGUGGAUAACCUACCUAUAAGACUGGGAUAACUUCGAGAAACCGUAGCUAAUACCGGAUAAUCUUUUGAACCGCAUGGUUCAAAAGUGAAAGACGGUCUUGCUGUCACUUAUAGCUGGAUCCGCGCUGCAUUAGCUAGUUGGUAAGGUAACGGCUUACCAAGGCAACGAUGCAUAGCCGACCUGAUAGGCUGGUCGCCCACAUGAGAACUGAGACACGGUCCAGACUCCUACGGGAGGCAGCAGUAGGGAAUCUUCCGCAAUGGGCGGAAGCCUGACGGAGCAGCGCCGCGUGAGUGAUGAAGGUCUUCGGAUCGUAAAACUCUGUUAUUAGGGAAGAACAUAUGUGUAAGUAACUGUGCACAUCUUGACGGUACCUAAUCAGAAAGCCACGGCUAACUACGUG
rnacentral:rRNA from 1 species